rnacentral:rRNA from 1 species
CACGUAGGCACCAAGCGUUGUCCGGACUUAUUGGGCGUAAAGAGCUCGUAGGCGGUUCGGUAAGUCGGGUGUGAAAACUCUGGGCUCAACCCAGAGACGCCACCCGAUACUGCUGUGACUAGAGUGCGGUAGGGGAGCGGGGAAUUCCUGGUGUAGCGGUGAAAUGCGCAGAUAUCAGGAGGAACACCAGUGGCGAAGGCGCCGCUCUGGGCCGUGACUGACGCUGAGGAGCGAAAGCGUGGGUAGCAAACAGG